UGUCAGCCGCCGCGGUAAUACAGAGGGGGCAAGCGUUAUUCGGAAUUAUUGGGCGUAAAGGGCGCGUAGGCGGUUUUUUAAGUCAGAUGUGCAAUCCCCGAGCUCAACUUGGGAACUGCAUCUGAGACUGGAAGGCUAGAGUACUGGAGAGGGUGGUGGAAUUCCUCGUGUAGCGGUGAAAUGCGUAGAGAUGAGGAGGAACACCAGUGGCGAAGGCGGCCACCUGGACAGUAACUGACGCUGAGGCGCGAAAGUGUGGGUAGCAAACAGGAUUAGAUACCCUGGUAGUCCACGCUGUAAACGAUGAACACUUGGUGUGGAGGGAGUUGACGCCUUCCGUGCCGGAGCUAACGCGUUAAGUGUUCCGCCUGGGGAGUACGGUCGCAAGGCUGAAACUCAAAGAAAUUGGCGG
rnacentral:rRNA from 1 species